rnacentral:rRNA from 1 species
UACGUAGGGCGCAAGCGUUGUCCGGAAUUAUUGGGCGUAAAGAGCUCGUAGGCGGUUUGUCGCGUCUGCUGUGAAAACCCGAGGCUCAACCUCGGGCCUGCAGUGGGUACGGGCAGACUAGAGUGUGGUAGGGGAGACUGGAAUUCCUGGUGUAGCGGUGGAAUGCGCAGAUAAUCAGGAGGAACACCCAAUGGGCGAAAGGCAGGUCUCUGGGCCACA